AUUGAACGCUGGCGGCAUGCUUUACACAUGCAAGUCGAGCGGUAACAGGCCUUCGGGUGCUGACGAGUGGCGAACGGGUGAGUAAUGCAUCGGAACGUGCCCAGAGGUGGGGGAUAACGCAGCGAAAGCUGUGCUAAUACCGCAUGUGAUCUGAGGAUGAAAGCGGGGGACCAAGCAGCAAUGUUUGGCCUCGCGCCUCUGGAGCGGCCGAUGUCAGAUUAGGUAGUUGGUGGGGUAAAGGCCUACCAAGCCGACGAUCUGUAGCUGGUCUGAGAGGACGACCAGCCACACUGGGACUGAGACACGGCCCAGACUCCUACGGGAGGCAGCAGUGGGGAAUUUUGGACAAUGGGCGCAAGCCUGAUCCAGCAAUGCCGCGUGCGGGAAGAAGGCCUUCGGGUUGUAAACCGCUUUUGUACGGAACGAAAAGGCUCUGGCUAAUACCUGGGGCUGAUGACGGUACCGUAAGAAUAAGCACCGGCUAACUACGUG
rnacentral:rRNA from 1 species